rnacentral:rRNA from 1 species
UGGCGAAUGGGUGCGUAACACGUAGAUGACCUACCCCAAAGUUUGGAAUAACAGCUCGAAAGAGCUGCUAAUACCGGAUGUGGUCUUGGAAAUUAGAAUACCAAGUCUAAAGCUGUAAGGCGCUUUGGGAGGGGUCUGCGGUCCAUCAGCUAGUUGGUAGGGUAACGGCCUACCAAGGCUACGACGGAUAGGGGACCUGAGAGGGUGACCCCCCACACUGACACUGAAACACGGGUCAGACGCCUACGGGUGGCAGCAGUAAGGAAUAUUGCUCAAUGGGCGAAAGCCUGAAGCAGCAACGCCGCGUGAGCGAUGAAGGCCCUCGGGUCGUAAAGCUCUUUUCGGGGAGAUGAGGAAGGACAGUAUCCCCGGAAUAAGGUACGGCUAACUACGUGCCAGCAGCCGCGGUAAAACGUAGGUACCAAGCGUUAUCCGGAUUCACUGGGCGUAAAGCGCGUGCAGGUGGUUGGGUAAGUCGGGCAUGAAAACUCUUGGCUUAACUGAGAGAAGCUGCUCGAUACUGCUCGACUGGAGGGCAUAAGAGGGAGAUGGAAUUCCGCGUGUAGUGGUGAAAUGCGUAGAUAUGCGGAGGAACACCAGUGGCGAAGGCGGUCUCCUGGUAUGCACCUGACACUCAGACGCGAAGGCUAGGGGAGCGAACGGGAUUAGAAACCCCGGUAGUCCUAGCAGUAAACGAUGAUACUAGGUGUUAGUGGUAACCAAACCACUAGUGCCGAAGCUAACGCGAUAAGUAAUCCGCCUGGGGACUACGAUCGCAAGAUUAAAACUCAAGGAAUUGACGGGGACCCGCACAAGCAGCGGAGCGUGUGGUUUAAUUCG